AAUACUAUACUUUCAGGGAUCAUUUCUAUAGUUCGUUACCAGAGAAGUUUCUCUGAUUGUGUAGAGUACCAGAAACCAUGAGGAGGAGGCGUACCAUUCCCUUCUGAGCGUGAAGCUGGCUUUUAGUGUUGCUUUGCUGCAACUGCCUAUUGCAAUUAAUGAUCGUUCUUCUCCUCUUCGGGAGAGCAAGAGGAAGGGAACACAGUCUGAGAGGU
ensembl:snoRNA U3 Small nucleolar RNA U3